CACAUGCAAGUCGAACGGCAGCAUGUCCUAGCUUGCUAGGAUGAUGGCGAGUGGCGAACGGGUGAGUAACGCGUGGGGAUCUGCCUUAAAGUGGGGGACAACCCGAGGAAACUCGGGCUAAUACCGCAUACGUCUUACGAGACAAAGUGUGCCUCUGUUUACAUGCACAUGCUUUAAGAGGAACCUGCGUCCGAUUAGCUUGUUGGUGGGGUAAAGGCCUACCAAGGCGACGAUCGGUAGCUGGUCUGAGAGGACGAACAGCCACACUGGGACUGAGACACGGCCCAGACUCCGGGAGGCAGCAGUGAGGAAUAUUGGACAAUGGCGCAAGCCUGAUCCAGCAAUGCCGCGUGUGUGAAGAAGGCCUUCGGGUUGUAAAGCACUUUCAAUGGGGAAGAAAGGCCUAAGGUUAAUACCCUUAGGAGUUGACGUUACCCAUAGAAGAAGCACUGGCUAACUCUGUGCCAGCAGCCGCGGUAAUACAGAGAGUGCGAGCGUUAAUCGGAAUUACUGGGCGUAAAGCGCGCGUAGGUGGAUGUUUAAGUCGAAUGUGAAAGCCCCGGGCUUAACCUGGGAAUUGCAUUCGAUACUGGACGACUAGAGUAUAGUAGAGGGUAGUGG
rnacentral:rRNA from 1 species